GAAGCUAUACUUCAUCCUCCUCGACUCGAGUGUCACUUUGUGUUUAGGUUAUGAGGUUGGUGUUGUCCCUUAGGAAGUUCUCAUUGAGGGAGAAAACUAGGUGCUUGUCCUGAGUCUUGCUUCAUUGCCUACAUAGUGGUGGAUUCAUUGAAGGCACAGAUUGUUGGGAUGAUGGUGUUAAAGUACACCAGAUAUUCUUUUUAGC
rnacentral:lncRNA from 1 species